GCCCCAUCACGUAAGUGCCAUCUCCAUACUGGAAUUGUUGACAGUGUCUGAUGGAGGAUUUCACCCUGGGUACUCAGUACCAGCAAUGGAUGAAAUACCAGAAGGGAGGCUCCAGGGCUUCCAUAGAAGACACAUUCUAAAGUUGCUCAGGUGAUCAAAUGGUCAUCUCAUAGAUUUUCAGCAGGACUGCAGCAUUUUGUGAAUACCUGAGUGAAUGCAGAAAGUAUCCAGACGCAUGGGCAUUCUAGGAAGCUCCCUGUGUAAAUCAAAUACAAGGAAUAUCUACUUCUGGGCUCAAAAGCUAACUUAGAAAAUAAAAAAAGUGAGAUGCUGGCAGAAGGCAAAUAACUCCACUUCAGUUCCUGAGAGAAAAAUGGUUCUGUAACCUCUGAGUUUAUUUAGAAAAAGUUUGGAGCCUCAGGAAGACCAAGUAUAUCAUUCCUGAUGUUUCCAGGGCAGAUUGGACUGCUAAGGCCUCUGGGACUAUUCUAAGUCCUCUCAGGUUUCCAUGGGAGACCAUAACUCUACUCCUAGAGCUCACACCACCCCCGAGCAAGCUCAUUGUUUUCCAAAUAUUCCAAGGAAGUCCAUCCAGGGUAUGCCUGUAUUGGUGAGUUUCACCUUGGACUGGCAGGAGAACUCUGAGAAUGAUACAUCCUGACUUCACUUGAUCAAGGUAGGGGAGCCAAGAAGUCCAGAUCUGGAGAGCACCUGAAACACUAGAUGGCAGAAGGACAGUAAGGAGGUGAAGUCAGCUAUGGAGGUGGAGCUUCAUGUUUACUGCAUGUAGGAUUCUGAGUUCCAGGACUGAUGGGCUGGUGGGGAUGAGAUACAUGUCUUCUUUGCAGGGAGCCAGGCCAAAACCAGCCAUCUGGUUGCACUACUGAAAGCUUUUGUGUGCCCAGUGGUAGGCAAGACACAAGCCAAACUCUCUUCACCUCUGGCUGGUAGUCCUUGACUAGAGAGGUUUGCACACAAGUGGUCCUAUUAGCCCAUGCUCUCCUGUGGCUUGCUUUCCUUUCACCUGUUUCUCAUGUUUGCCGUCAUGGAACACAUUUCAUAGUGAAAUUCUUUGACUCUGACUCCAAAUUACACAAGGAGGACCCAAUUUGUGAACUUUUCAUAUAUUUAGGAGAAUCUCCACAUUGAUUUUUGUAUCCUUAUGUUCAUAUUGUCACCAGUAUUCAAAUUCUUACUAUUUAGGUCAUUGCGUUCACUAUCAUAAUUAUUAAAUAUUUUUCAGUUAUCAUUUAUUUUUAUUGGUUAAUUUUUGUGGCAGCUGUUAUAUAACAAUCACUAGAGUUUCUCUAUUCAUGAAAGAUGUCCACGUUAAUGGAGGUAACUAGGAGUGUUACUUUACAGGUAUGUAAACACAGAUAAUUUUGGCUGAACUGUGGCUAUAUUGUCUGGUGUCCCUUUGAAGGUGAAGCCUCUUGUGUUAUUCUAAGUGACCUCUGGAGACAGAAACUGUCUCAUAAUUGCAGGGAUGACUUGAGAAGGCAUCCUGAGCCUGUGCAGAAAUGCAGAAGCACUUCCAUGAUCUAAGCAACCUAUGUUAAGGCCUGAAAGCCAAAGCAAAGCUGUCCAACAAAAAGUUUUCCUAGUAACACUGGAGGUCCAUCAGUCACUCCUCCUGGUCUGGAAACGCCAGAAAUGUCCUCCGUGGUUCUUGUGAGGGUCCAGAUCUUUUCAAAAUCACCUCAGGAGCCACAGAACCACUCCAUCCUACCUGAAAUUGCAGAAUGACUCUUCUUUUGACCAGAGUCUCAAAAAUAUAUUCAUUGAUAGUUUUGGUUCCUGGGAGCCGCCAUUGCUUGCAAAAGAUGUGCCAGAGACUAGACAUUUUCUGUUUCCUCACUUGUCCGGGGAAGACUGAAGUUUUUCUGGAACACAGAAAUGGGAAUCUGACCCUCUGAGCAGCCUCAGAAUUUUCUAAGUCUUCCAAGCAGAGUGGAAGUUCUGGUGAGGACCCAUUGUACCCCCGAUGGUCUGGAAUCACAUAGGAUGAUGCGUUUAAACAACUCUAGGUGGAGAUAUAUUUUCUGAGAUAUUCCAAGGAGGAGGGACGCAACUGGACCAGAUGUUAAAAGGGCAGCUGAGCAUUAAGUGCCUAUGUAGUGUUUGCAGCUUAAUGUCCCAUGCAGAAGGGGACUCUGGGCUCUUGUGUUAGAAUUCAGUGUAAUUCCUGCUUUUCUUCCAGGAAAUCCCACUUCCAUCUGGAUGUCUGGAUGAACUACUGAAAGCCACUGAGUGUCCUGCAGUAGGUGAACUGUGGCCAGAGCCCAAGGAUGAAGGGGGCUCCUUCUGUCUGUGACUGUGAAGAGGAAGCCUGAGGUAUAGCAGACCCAGGCCCCAGAAGGAUGGAAAAAAUGAGGGUUGGACCCAAGAUUCUGUACUUCUAUGGAGCCCUGUGUUCUGCCCAGGUGUCAUUUACUCUCAGGCUCUUGAUUCUAUAUCCGAGUGAAAUGACUUGCCAGUGGGGAACAAGAUAAGUCUUUGCAGGAAGCGCUCUGGUGGGAGCUAGAUACUCAAAUCAUAAAGCAUCGAGUGUUGGAAACAUGCACUGAAGUUAGACGAAAUACUCAAUGCACAGUUUAGACGGUGAAAGACUUUCAGGUAAUCAUGCAAUCACCGACCGGCUGAUUGAUGACAUUCCCCGAAUUUAUGAUUGCAAGAAGAGACAAAUACUCAUGACAUUCUAUUUCCGGUGGUUGGGGACAUACGAUGGCAACAUACUGUCUGCCAGUCAUGCUCAUCACACUGUACUUUGCACACACGUCACACAGAGACACAGUUAAUACGCACAUUUGUGUGCUUGAGCAGGGUUGCGCUCAAGAUUCUGUGGUUGUACGGAGCCCUGAGUUAUGCCCUGGACAUCUUUACUCUCGGGUUGGUCAACUUGGAUCACUGUACCGAACGAGAAACGGAGCCUGAAAUCCAAUCAGCGAAUACACAAAAGGAAGGGGCCAUUUCCCACAAUCAUUUGCACUGCAACACCACCUCGGAU